rnacentral:lncRNA from 1 species
UUGAAAAUGAACCGUCGCCUUCCAACGGUUUCACUCGCCCCUCUACUCUUUAAUAUCUAUACCGAUUAGAGAAAAAGACGAGUUGGAGAGAGAGAGAUGGAGCUACAGAUGCAGAAAGAGAGAAUAUGAGGGAUCCGAUCGGUGGUUCCGACGACCGGUCUACAGCGUCACAGCCACCACCAUGACAACAUCAGCGACAUACAGAGUAGUCUUUCGUUACCACGCUUGGUUUCAAACCCUAAUUUUUCUUUUCAUCAUAUGAUCUGUUUAUUUUGGGUUUCUUUUACGCCGACAGAGUUGGUAUAGGGCUCCAAUGGAGUUCCAGUCGACAACCCUAAGUGUUUGUUUGAUAGAUGAAUUAAAACAUGAUGGUAUAAUCUCUUGUGAAUAUAUCCAUAUCUACAACGUCAACGAGUGAAUUAAUGGAGGAAGUAAGAGAUCUCUGCAAUUUCUUACCAAAGCUACUGGAAAAGCAAUACCUUUAGCUGCUGGAUUUGUCAUACAGGUGGCGGCAAGAGAGGCUGGUGGUCUUGUAGUCGAUAUGAUCCGCCAGAAAAAGAUGGCUAGAAUGGCACUUACUACAUGCUGGACCUCCGGGUACGGGUAAAACUGCCCUUGCCCUUGGUAUCUCUCUAGAACUUGGUACUAAGGUAUCAUUUUGUCCCAUGGUUGGAUCAGUAGUCUACUCAUCGGAAGUAAAGAAAACCGAGGUUUUGAUGGAGAAUUUCAAAGGGUGGCAGAGCUUGUCACUGGUGUCUUAUUUACCGACGAGGUACAUAUGCUGGAUAUGGAGUGUUUUUUGUACCUAAACCGUGCUUUAGAAAGCUCAUUAUCCCCAAAUGUAAUCUUUGCCACCAAUAGAGGGAUAUGUACCGUGAGGAACUAACAGUAUCCCCAAUCGGUCUUCUGAUGCCGGCGGAUACUCCAUGGAACCAUAGAAUUCCGGGGCUGAAUUGAAGAGGCUUGAUUCUUUAGCAAAAAACUCGCCAUUUGGAGGUAUUUGGAUCUGAUACUGAUCUCAGGUUUCCAUGCCGCAAAUGACAACAGAGUUGCUGAAGUUUGGGAUGGAAUACAAAAUCCUCAAAUUACUCAUUUUCCUCCAGGGCAACCACAGCUACAACUAGAGUUGAAUGGUAAAGUUAGCAUAUAUUCUUCAUUGAUCCUGCUUCAUCAUAAUUGUGAGUAAUUUCUAUAAAUCAACAUUUUUUGUCUUGGUGUUUUCUUCGUGAUGCUAAAAUAUCAUCACUUGCGUAUUGCAUCCUUGUGUUUUCUUUCAUUUGGUUUCAAUGAUUGCAACCAUUUUGUAAACAAAAAAAAUCGGUGCUGUUGGUUCAGAGAAAUAAUAAGUAAUAGCUCUUUAAGUCUGAUGCUUUUGGUGAUGUUUUAUUUUUUAUACAAUUUUUUUGGU